rnacentral:miRNA from 1 species
AACUGAAUAUAUAAACAUUCAAC